rnacentral:tRNA from 1 species
GCCCUUAUAGCUCAGCGGUAGAGCGUUGCACUCGUAAUGCAAAGGCCGCUGGUUCAAGUCCAGCUGGGGGCA